rnacentral:rRNA from 1 species
UCGGUUUGUACUGGCUUUACUGAUUCCUCCUUCUUGACGAACCGUGAUGUCAUUAAUUUGGUGUUGCGGGAAAUCAGGACUGUUACUUUGAAAAAAUUAGAGUGUUUAAAGCAGGCUAACGCUUGAAUACAUUAGCAUGGAAUAAUGAAAUAGGACGUUAAUCCUAUUUUGUUGGUUUCUAGGAUCGACGUAAUGAUUAAUAGGGAUAGUUGGGGGCAUUAGUAUUCAAUUGUCAGAGGUGAAAUUCUUGGAUUUAUUGAAGACUAACUACUGCGAAAGCAUUUGCCAAGGAUGUUUUCAUUAAUCAAGAACGAAAGUUAGGGGAUCGAAGACGAUCAGAUACCGUCGUAGUCUUAACCAUAAACUAUGCCGACUAGGGAUCGGAUGAUGUUAAUUCUUUAAUGACUCAUUC